CCCACAAGUGUAGUUGGUUAUCACGUCGGUCUCAUAUCAGUACAUAUGACUGCUCACAGCAGCAGACAUCCGAAGGCCGCCAGUUCGAGUCUGGCAGGAA